rnacentral:rRNA from 1 species
UACGGAGGGUGCGAGCGUUACCCGGAUUUACUGGGUGUAAAGGGCGUGUAGGCGGUCUCUCAAGUCCGAUGCUAAAGACCGAAGCUCAACUUCGGGGGUGCGUUGGAUACUGUGAGGCUAGACGGUCGGAGAGGGUAGCGGAAUUUCCGGAGUAGCGGUGAAAUGCGCAGAUACCGGAAGGAACUCCAAUAGCGAAGGCAGCUACCUGGACGAUUUGUGACGCUGAGGUACGAAAGCUAGGGGAGCGAAUGGG